GGGCUAGCGUUGCUCGGAAUCACUGGGCGUAAAGCGCACGUAGGCGGCUUUCUAAGUCAGGGGUGAAAUCCUGGAGCUCAACUCCAGAACUGCCUUUGAUACUGGAGAGCUUGAGUCCGGAAGAGGUGAGUGGAACUCCGAGUGUAGAGGUGAAAUUCGUAGAUAUUCGGAAGAACACCAGUGGCGAAGGCGGCUCACUGGUCCGGUACUGACGCUGAUGUGCGAAAGCGUGGGGAGCAAACAGG
rnacentral:rRNA from 1 species